rnacentral:rRNA from 1 species
CCUACGGGAGGCUGCAGUAGGGAAUUUUCGGCAAUGGGGGCAACCCUGACCGAGCAACGCCGCGUGGAGGAUGAAGGUUUUAGGAUUGUAAACUCCUUUUGUUAGAGAAGAUUAUGACGGUAUCUAACGAAUAAGCACCGGCUAACUCCGUGCCAGCAGCCGCGGUAAUACGGAGGGUGCAAGCGUUAUUCGGAAUCACUGGGCGUAAAGAGUGCGUAGGCGGGGUAAUAAGUCAGAUGUGAAAUCCUGUAGCUUAACUACAAAACUGCAUUUGAAACUGUUACUCUGGAGUGUGGGAGAGGUAGGUGGAAUUCUUGGUGUAGGGGUAAAAUGCGUAGAGAUCAAGAGGAAUACUAAUUGCGAAGGCGACCUGCUGGAACGUUACUGACGCUGAUGCACGAAAGCGUGGGGAGCAAACAGGAUUAGAUACCCUUGUAGUC